rnacentral:rRNA from 1 species
ACUCCUACGGGAGGCAGCAGUGGGGAAUAUUGGACAAUGGGGCAACCCGUGAUCCAGCCAUGCCGCGUGUGUGAAGAAGGCCUUCGGGUUGUAAAGCACUUUCAGUAGGGAGGAAAGGUUGUACGUUAAUACCGUGCAGCUGUGACGUUACCUACAGAAGAAGCACCGGCUAACUCCGUGCCAGCAGCCGCGGUAAUACGGAGGGUGCGAGCGUUAUCCGGAUUUAUUGGGUUUAAAGGGUCCGUAGGCGGGUUAAUAAGUCAGUGGUGAAAUCCCAUCGCUUAACGAUGGAACUGCCAUUGAUACUGUUAGUCUUGAAUGAGGGUGCAGUGGUUGGAAUGUGUAGUGUAGCGUGAAAUGCAUAGAUAUUACACGAACACCGAUUGCGAAGGCAGAUCACUAACCCUAAAUUGACGCUGAGGGACGAAAGCGUGGGGAGCGAACAGGAUUAGAUACCCUGUAGACUGUC